rnacentral:rRNA from 1 species
AUUAACGCUGGCGGCGUGCCUAAUGCAUGCAAGUCGAACGGGGUCCCUUCGGGGGUACCCGUGGCGGACGGGUGAGGAACACGUGGGGAACCUGCCCAUUGGUGGGGGGUAGCCCGUGGAAACGCGGGGUAAUUCCGCAUACGCUGGCCUGGGGGUAGCCCGGGCCAGGAAAGGGUCUUCGGACUCGCCGAUGGAGGGGCCUGCGUCCGAUUAGCUGGUUGGUGGGGUAACGGCCUACCAAGGCGGUGAUCGGUAGCUGGUCUGAGAGGACGGCCAGCCACAGGGGGACUGAGACACGGCCCCCACUCCUACGGGAGGCAGCAGCAAGGAGUUUUCCGCAAUGGGCGAAAGCCUGACGGAGCAACGCCGCGUGGGGGAUGACGCCCUUCGGGGUGUAAACCCCUUUUCUUGGGGACGAAGCAGUGACGGUACCAGAGGAAGAAGGCCCGGCUAACUACGU